CACUUUUUUUGGAGCGCUGGUUUUUCCCUGUCUGUCUCUCCUCUCGUAUGAUAGUUUUUGCCUGCCUCACUCACGACGGCUUUUGCCUAUUCCCUGCCUGUACUGUUGCCAUUUUUGGACCUACCGCGUAUGACCUUCUGCCUGGCCCUGGACCCAGCUACCUGCCUCCUCCUCCUAUGGUCCGUUUCAUUAAACCCCUGCUGCGGUUUUGCUAUCCACAAGGUUUGCUAUCCACCUGGAUUCAGCUGGAUUCAGCUGCUCUUCUCUGGUCUAUGGUCCAGGAGGCUUUCAUCUCUAGACCGCUGAUGCUGAGGGAGGUUAUAGGGUGGUUUUGGAAAUGUUUUACCAGAUGGUGUCAUACAGCAAUGUCUCAUGUUGAAGGAUGCUCUUCAACCCCACAUCCCCUUGACUUCCACUCCUCCCUCCUUCAACACCUCCGCUCUCUCUCCUCCCAGGUUUGUUACCCCAUACAAACAAGAUAAAGCAAUGUCUCAUGUUGAAGGAUGCCCUUCAACCCCCACAUCCCCUUAACUGCCACUCCUCCCUCCAACACCUCCUCCUCCCAGGUAUGUUACCCCAUACAAACAAGAUAAAGCAAUGUCUCAUGUUGAAGGAUGCUCUUCAACCCCACAUCCCCUUAACUGCCACUCCUCCCUCCUUCAACACCUCCUCCUCUCUCUCUCCUCCCAGGACACCAUACAUACACAGUGUGUGUGUGUGAGGAGACAUCUGAGGCUCAUAUUGUUCUUGUUUCCCAGAAUUCCAUGCUGCUCGCUCCCGGUGCUUAACAUAGUUGGCAGUUCUCUUCAUCCUCCUAACUACACAGUAUGGCCUUUUUUUUUUUUUUUUUUUUAAAAGACGGCCAGACCAGGUGCAUAUUCUCUUCCAGAUCCAACUCUGUUCUGUUCUUGUGCUGAAGCUCUGUCCAGCACCACUGCUCAAGCGUGUCCAACACUUUCACUGGAGAGAGAGAGAGAGAAAGAAGAGACGUCACAGAGUGAGAGGAAAGAUUUGAAGAGUGGAACAAAGACACCAGCAGAAAAAAGUACAUUUAUAUAUAAAAAAAUAUCUAACCGUACUAUCAAACAUCCACACCCAGUUCCAUCUAAACCAACUCUACAUCCAAACCCCAAACACCAGUUUGGAGGUUCCAUCAAAACAGCCACAUCCGGCAAGUGUGACUCACACAGCCACAUGAGAAGCAGUCUUACUCUGUAUAAAAUGUCUUACUUAUAGCUUACUUACUCUUACAUUACAGAGAGUAAAUCCAGUAUUGUACACUAUAAAUCCAGUAUUGU
ensembl:lncRNA